UACGUAGGUGGCAAGCGUUGUCCGGAUUUACUGGGCGUAAAGAGCGCGCAGGCGGUCGUUCAAGUCGGGUGUGAAAGCCCCCGGCUCAACUGGGGAGGGUCACGCGAUACUGAUCGACUCGAAGGCAGGAGAGGGUAGUGGAAUUCCCGGUGUAGUGGUGAAAUGCGUAGAUAUCGGGAGGAACACCAGUGGCGAAGGCGACUACCUGGCCUGUUUCUUGACGCUGAGGCGCGAAAGCUAGGGGAGCAUACGGG
rnacentral:rRNA from 1 species